AGCCAGAGGAAGAUAUUUUUGGUUUAACCUGCCCAAUGUAUUAUUGUAUGAAUGGCCGCGGUACCCUGACCGUGCUAAGGUAGCGUAAUCAGUUGGCUUUUAAAUGGAGUCAGGUAUGAAUGGGAUAACCGGGCUUAGCUGUCUCAAAGACAUUUAUUUGAAUUUACUGUUCAAGUGAAAAAGCUUGACGUAAGAAAAGGGACGAGAAGACCCUUAGAAUUUUGUUUAAAGAGGAUUAUCUCCUCUAUGAUUUUGUUGGGGCGACAGAGAAAUAAUUAAAACUUUCUUUAAAUUAAUCAGUCGGAAUUUUCAGGUUAGGAUAAAUUACCUGAGGGAUAACAGCAUAAUUUUAUAAAUAAGUUUGUGACCUCGAUGUUGGACUAGGAAGCUAAUGGGUUAGCUGCCCAUUGUGCGGAUUCUGUUCGAAUUUUAACUCCUACGUGAUCUGA
rnacentral:rRNA from 1 species